CCAGCAGCCGCGGUAAUUCCAGCUUCAAUAGCGUAUGUUAGAGUUGUUGCAGUUAAAAGGCUCGUAGUUGGAUUUCUGCUGGAGAUUGCUGGUCCGCCCUUCGGGUGAGUAUCUGGUGUGUCCUUGGCAUAUUCUUUGGAGGUGCAACUGCACUUGACUGUGUGGUGCACUUUUGAAGACGUUUACUUUGAGGAAAUGAGAGUGUUUAAAGCAAGUUUUGGCCUUGAAUACA
rnacentral:rRNA from 15 species